UCCCAAAGAAAAAGAGAAAAUUCUCUAUUUUAUUAAUGUAGUAUAAAUUACAGAGACAAACACCACAAUCUGUUGAAGCCAAUAUAGAGCGAUAUAAAUAAAGAAUAAUAAACUAGCAAGUACAUAUAUGAGUACAAUAGAUUAUAACGUUGGAGAUAAAGAUUGUUCAUAUAUCUAGAACAAAAAGAUGCAACAGAAAAUGUCAAUCACUCCAGUUAUCCUGAUCCUCAGCUGGUCCUGUGUCCAUCUCAUUAGCAAUCAAUCUGGACGGAGACCAGACCAGAAUUUGUCUGUCAUUUCCACCUGUAUAUAUUUCCUGUGACAAGAAUAAAUAAGUCAAACAGUUGCAGCAAUGUAUACAGGCACUAGAAAUUCAACUCAUUAGGAUUUAUUGCCCAACUUUUCAUUAUGGGCGAGGAAUCUUCAUGUAACAAUAAUAUUUCAGGAGCACAGUACUAUAUUUCUAGAUAGAAAUUUGUUUUGUUAAAAGUUUUAAGGAAACAACAACAAUUCAACUUUAAACACAAGUUUUAUCUCUUCAUCCCCUUUCUCCUUUUCCCCUGAUGAAAGCCCCCAAAACUAAUAAACUCACAAGCUGUUCUACCUUUGCAUAAAUAUUACUCGAGUCUGACGAAAUAAAUUUAGAAAAGCUAGAGAACUAAUCAUUACUUAACUUCAGACCUGAUAUUUCAUGAAUCAUGAAUCCUAUAUAAUGGUGUCAGAACUCAAAUUGCAUGACAACCAAACUGGCAGAGUAAAAAAUAUGACGAAUUGCCUAUUUUAGAAAAAACAACUGAAAUGCUUGGGAAUAGAUUGAACCUGAUCUUGUGAAUUAAACCAGCAACAGUUCACGUACUCGUAAUGACCACGAAAUGUCAUGGAUGUCAUACCCGACCACACAUCAAAUGCCUAGAGCAUUUAAAGAACAGUUAAGGUUCCAAUAAAAAUGUACCUCUUCCCAUUCACAAUUAAAAUUAAAUAACAAAAUGGCAGAAAGUCUACUUUCACAGCUGUCAUGCAUGGAACAAAAACAAGUGAUGAAUCUUGUGUUGUGGCCAAUUGAAUAGCUUUGCUAGUCUGUAGGCGUACAGUUUCAAAGUUCACAAGUGUAUUGCAGCCAGAUUCAACAUCCCACAACCUCAUUCUUGAAUCUGAUCCUGCACUUAGAAGAUACAUUCCAUCUUCAGUUAUUUUAAGGCCAGUAACAGCACCAUAAUGUGCAGUGGCACGAUCCUGACUAGACAACAUUCCUGGAUGUAAUCUCUGCCUGAGAGGUCCCUUGGCUGGAGUUCGACCAAGAGGUGACUGCUUUAUUCCAUUCCCAGCAGCAGAUUUCUUUUGAUGUACCCGUGGUUUUGACGGCAAAUUUUGACCUGCUGAUAAGGCCUUUGAAAUUGAAACCUUAUUUGUUGCAGAGCAAGCAAGGAUUGGUGGGCGUCUCCCAAGUUGAGACCGAGAUUGAUCUAAAACACGGAAACAUCCAGCACGUCUAAUAUCCCAAAAUCGUAUGGCACCAUCACAUCCACCAGUAAUUAAAACAAACUCACUUGAAGUUGACCAUUCCACUGUCAUAACACCAUCACGGUGACCAGACAGCGUGUGGGCAAAUGCACCUGAAGCAAUAUCACAAAGUCGAACUUGAACAUCUUCAGUUCCUGCAGCUAUCAGCAUGUGAGAUGUCGCUAAUGGGGACAUCGCAGUUCUAUAAACCUUUCCAGGCAUUUUAAAAUUCACCACCGCCUGAGUGGUAUUAGUAUCCCAGACUUUUAUAUAGUGAUCAUAAGAACCAGUGAUGAAAAGCCCCGUAUCCACAGGAUACCAUAUAGCAGAAGAAAUGGCAAAUUUAUGUCCACUUUCAUGUUGCUUGUCAACAGCAAAUAAGCACUUGUGCUUAGCAAUAAGACCUCUUCCCUCAUAAUCCGUAGCCCGCUGAAUAUCAAAACAUGCGGCUGAUGCAUCUGAUGCACCAGAUAACAAAUAUCGCCCCUCUGUCAAAUCGACCUGAAGAGAGUUGAUUGAUCCUCUGUGAGGUGAGACGAUGUCCUUGCAAUUAGAGAGCUGGAGAUCAGCGAUCCUGUUUGAUUUAAUUCGAUUGGUGAAGGAAUUAGGGCGGGUUUUUCCCGCUUCUCUGUCUCUGAUUUCCCUCCACAUUUUCGAGGCAUCUUUAGCCUCCAGAAGAGGUGCGAUGCGAUGCGAUUGAGAUCAAUUCCAAAUAGCUUCUUCUUCUUCUUUCUUCAGCUCCUUCUGCUGCUUGAGCUUGUUUGCUCC
rnacentral:misc_RNA from 1 species